GCCUUGCUGCAGCAAGCCUCCAGCUCGCAGUCUCUCACUGAGGACCAAGAGAUGUUGGUGUGCAGGAGAUUCAGUGCGUGUGUUUUUCAUUCCCGUGUGGAUUUGUUUCAAAGACAUUGUCAUCUGUGUAGAAGCCAGUUUCGAUCUCUGGUUUCUACCCCUUGCCCUGCUGGCAGGGCAUUGAGCGGCACCCGUUGCCGGCCAGCUGGGUGCAGGAGAUCGAGGAGGGUGAAUGGAGGAGCAACCCUGAGCAUCUGCCAUCCAGCUCCAUCCGAUCUAGAGCAAUUCCAGGAUGGAGAGAAUAAGGCGGAUGCUCAGGAGGAAGGCCGGGCAGGUGGCUCCAGAGCCAGCAGAAAACAUCAGCCAGCCUUCCCAGGAGGAGAGCGGCCCCUCUGUCCCCGCGGGCGGGGAAGAGGCUUGUGGCCGGAGUAAGAAGAGGAGCUGCGUCACCUGCUGGAGGAGGCGGAAGACAGCAGCUCCCCUAGCUGACCCUGAGGCACCUUCUGGGCCGAAAUGGAGGUGGCCCCGGGUUCAGCUGUGGAGGAGAGAGCCAGUACAGGGCAGGAGCCGGAGAAGGCAGCUCUGGGGCUUCCUUCGCAGGAAGCCAAGGAGCCAGGAGCUGCACCCCAGGGCCCAGCAGGAGCCGUCCACCACCAUGGCAACUGAGGGGCCCAGUGCCAGCCCCACCCUGGC